CAGGGAAUUGCACUCCUUUCAGGACUCAUGUGCAGACACCGGUAACACAACAGGGCCUUGAUUACUGGAAACUCAAGAAGAAGCGCGGAGUAUCAUUUAGGGAGAGUAUAAAUGCCGCUCUCGGUUUAGCUUAUCUUCAUCAUCUUAUCCCAUGAAGCCGUUCCUCAUCCCAGCAUCUCUGUCAUGAUUAUCUGUAUACAUUGUGACUAAAAGAACGCUUGACUAAAAGUGAGAAAAAUCCAACUCAAAGUAUGAAAAAAGGAAAAUUAUUAUCACACAGAGUUUCUAGAUCAGCUGAGAACAACCUGAGUAAUAAACCAAAACCAAAGUCUGGAAAUCACCAAUUCAAAGGAAAGAGGCAAAGGGAAGAAUCCAGUCCAGUGAUCCUCUCUUCCUCCAGGUCACUAAUCUGGCUCCAGAGCUGACCCACAGAAUUGAAGACUAACAGCAACAAAGACUUCACUAACCAAUGAUACAGAUAAUGGAAGUGAGGAAUUCAGUUAGAAGAUCUUCUCUCCAGGGACCUUUUGGACACAGAGCCUUAAACCAAAGGAAUGGCUGCAAAUCCUGGUCGUUUUCCAGUAUGGUGAUAAAUUGGUAGGGAAGAAAUUAUAGGCCAGGAACCAGAGCCAUCCCAUAAGUGCC
ensembl:lncRNA